rnacentral:rRNA from 1 species
AAACUUGAGAGUUUGAUCAUGGCUCAGAAUGAACGCUGGCGGCACGCUUAACACAUGCAAGUCGAACGAGAUCUUCGGAUCUAGUGGCAGACGGGUGCGUAACGCGUGGGAACCUGCCCUUUAGUAAGGAAUAACUCAGGGAAACUUGUGCUAAUACCUUAUAAUCCCUUCGGGGGAAAGCUUUAUGCGCUAAUGGAUGGGCCCGCGUUAGAUUAGCUUGUUGGUGAGGUAAUGGCUCACCAAGGCGACGAUCUAUAGCUGGUCUGAGAGGAUGAUCAGCCACACUGGGACUGAGACACGGCCCAGACUCCUACGGGAGGCAGCAGUGGGGAAUAUUGGACAAUGGGGGCAACCCUGAUCCAGCGAUGCCGCGUGAGUGAUGAAGGCCCUAGGGUUGUAAAACUCUUUCGCCAGGGAAGAUAAUGACGGUACCUGGUAAAGAAGAUCCGGCUAACUCCGUGCCAGCAGCCGCGGUAAUACGGAGGGAUCUAGCGUUAUUCGGAAUAACUGGGCGUAAAGCGAGCGUAGGCGGAUUUGUAAGUUGGAGGUGAAAUCCCAGGGCUUAACCCUGGAACUGCCUUCAAAACUACAUUUCUUGAGUUUGGUAGAGGAGAGUGGAAUUCCUAGUGUAGAGGUGAAAUUCGUAGAUAUUAGGAGGAACACCAGUGGCGAAGGCGACUCUCUGGGCCAAUACUGACGCUGAGGUUCGAAAGCGUGGGGAGCGAACGGGAUUAGAUACCCCGGUAGUCCACGCAGUAAACGAUGAGUGCUAGAUGUUGGGAACAUUAGUUUUCAGUAUCGCAGCUAACGCGUUAAGCACUCCGCCUGGGAAGUACGGCCGCAAGGCUAAAACUCAAAUGAAUUGACGGGGACCCGCACAAGCGGUGGAUCAUGUGGUUUAAUUCGAAGCAACGCGAAGAACCUUACCGGCUCUUGACAUACCAAUCGCGGAUCUAAGAGAUUAGAUCCUUCACUUCGGGUGGAUUGGAUACAGGUGCUGCAUGGCUGUCGUCAGCUCGUGUCGUGAGAUGUUGGGUUAAGUCCCGCAACGAGCGCAACCCCUACCUUCAAUUGCCAGCACGUUAUGGUGGGAACUUUGAAGGAACUGCCGGUGAUAAGCCGGAGGAAGGUGGGGAUGACGUCAAGUCCUCAUGGCCCUUACGGGCCGGGCUACACACGUGAUACAAUGGUGAUUACAAAGGGCUGCUACAGAGCGAUCUCAAGCAAAUCCUUAAAAGUCAUCUCAGUUCGGAUUGCACUCUGCAACUCGAGUGCAUGAAGUUGGAAUCGCUAGUAAUCGUAGAUCAGCGCGCUACGGUGAAUACGUUCCCGGGUCUUGUACACACCGCCCGUCACACCAUGGGAGUUGGUUUUACCUGAAGCUAGUUCGCUAACCGCAAGGAGGCAGCUAACCACGGUAAGAUUAGCGACUGGGGUGAAGUCGUAACAAGGUAACCGUAGGGGAACCUGCGGUUGGAUCACCUCCUUU